AUCAUUUUCUGGUUCAUGAACAUGAUGGUUGGAUGUUUCCACAUUUGUGAGACAUGUGCCUCACUUAAACCUUGUUAUAAUGGCUGCACAUUAGCUGUCUUACA